UACAGAGGAUGCGAGCGUUAAUCGGAAUUACUGGGCGUAAAGCGCGCGUAGGCGGCCAACUAAGUCAGACGUGAAAUCCCUCGGCUUAACCGGGGAACUGCGUCUGAUACUGGAUGGCUUGAGUUUGGGAGAGGGAUGCGGAAUUCCAGGUGUAGCGGUGAAAUGCGUAGAUAUCUGGAGGAACACCGGUGGCGAAGGCGGCAUCCUGGACCAACACUGACGCUGAGUGAGCGAAAGCCAGGGGAGCAAACGGG
rnacentral:rRNA from 1 species